rnacentral:rRNA from 1 species
GUGGGGAAUUUUGGACAAUGGGCGCAAGCCUGAUCCAGCAAUGCCGCGUGCAGGAAGAAGGCCUUCGGGUUGUAAACUGCUUUUGUACGGAACGAAACGGUCCUGGUUAAUACCUGGGGCUAAUGACGGUACCGUAAGAAUAAGCACCGGCUAACUACGUGCCAGCAGCCGCGGUAAUACGUAGGGUGCGAGCGUUAAUCGGAAUUACUGGGCGUAAAGCGUGCGCAGGCGGUGCUGUAAGACAGGCGUGAAAUCCCCGGGAUCAACCUGGGAAUUGCGCUGGUGACUGCAGUGCUGGAGUACUGCAGAGGGGGAUGGAAUUCCGCGUGUAGCAGUGAAAUGCGUAGAUAUGCGGAGGAACACCGAUGGCGAAGGCAGUCCCCUGGGCCUGUACUGACGCUCAUGCACGAAAGCGUGGGGAGCAAACAGGAUUAGAUACCCCUGUAGUCC